rnacentral:rRNA from 1 species
CCUACGGGGGGCAGCAGUGAGGAAUAUUGGUCAAUGGACGCAAGUCUGAACCAGCCAUGCCGCGUGCAGGAUGACGGCUCUAUGAGUUGUAAACUGCUUUUGUACGAGGGUAAACCACGAUACGUGUAUCGGGUUGAAAGUAUCGUACGAAUAAGGAUCGGCUAACUCCGUGCCAGCAGCCGCGGUAAUACGGAGGAUCCGAGCGUUAUCCGGCUUUAUUGGGGUUCAAGGGGGCGUAGGCGGUUUGAUAAGUUAGAGGUGAAAUGUCGGGGCUCAACCCCGAAACUUCCUCUCAUACUGUUGGCCUAGAGCAUAGUUGCGGUAGGCUGACUGUUUGGUGUAGCGGUGAACUGCUUAGAGAUCAUACAGAACACCGAUUGCGAAGGCAGCUUACCACACUAUAUCUGACGUUGAGGCACGAAAGCGUGGGUAGCAAACAGGAUUAGAUACCCCGGUAGUC